AUUGAACGCUGGCGGCAGGCUUAACACAUGCAAGUCGAGCGGGGGAAGGUAGCUUGCUACUGGACCUAGCGGCGGACGGGUGAGUAAUGCUUAGGAAUCUGCCUAUUAGUGGGGGACAACAUCUCGAAAGGGAUGCUAAUACCGCAUACGUCCUACGGGAGAAAGAAGGGGAUCUUCGGACCUUGUGCUAAUAGAUGAGCCUAAGUCGGAUUAGCUAGUUGGUGGGGUAAAGGCCUACCAAGGCGAGGAUCUGUAGCGGGUCUGAGAGGAUGGUCCGCGCUACUGGUACUGAGACACGGCCCAGCCUGCUGCGGGAGGCAGGAGUAGAGAAUAUUGGAGAAUGGGAUCAAGCCUGAUGCAGCCAUGCCGCGUGUGUGAAGAAUGCCUUAUGGUUGUAAAGCACUUUAAGCGAGGAGGAGGCUACUUUAGUUAAUACCUAGAGAUAGUGGACGUUACUCGCAGAAUAAGCACCGGCUAACUCUGUGCCAGCAGCCGCAGUAACAC
rnacentral:rRNA from 1 species